UACGUAGGGGGCAAGCGUUGUCCGGAUUUAUUGGGCGUAAAGAGCGUGUAGGCGGCCAUACAGGUCCGUUGUGAAAACUCGAGGCUCAACCUCGAGAUGUCGGCGGAAACCAUCUGGCUAGAGUCCGGAAGAGGAGAGUGGAAUUCCUGGUGUAGCGGUGAAAUGCGCAGAUAUCAGGAAGAACACCCGUGGCGAAGGCGGCUCUCUGGGACGGUACUGACGCUGAGACGCGAAAGCGUGGGGAGCGAACAGG
rnacentral:rRNA from 1 species